rnacentral:rRNA from 1 species
AUUGAACGCUGGCGGCAGGCCUAACACAUGCAAGUCGAACGGUAACAGGAAGAAGCUUGCUUCUUUGCUGACGAGUGGCGGACGGGUGAGUAAUGUCUGGGAAACUGCCUGAUGGAGGGGGAUAACUACUGGAAACGGUAGCUAAUACCGCAUAACGUCGCAAGACCAAAGAGGGGGACCUUCGGGCCUCUUGCCAUCGGAUGUGCCCAGAUGGGAUUAGCUAGUAGGUGGGGUAACGGCUCACCUAGGCGACGAUCCCUAGCUGGUCUGAGAGGAUGACCAGCCACACUGGAACUGAGACACGGUCCAGACUCCGACGGGAGGCAGCAGUGGGGAAUAUUGCACAAUGGGCGCAAGCCUGAUGCAGCCAUGCCGCGUGUAUGAAGAAGGCCUUCGGGUUGUAAAGUACUUUCAGCGGGGAGGAAGGGAGUAAAGUUAAUACCUUUGCUCAUUGACGUUACCCGCAGAAGAAGCACCGGCUAACUCCGU